rnacentral:rRNA from 1 species
CACCGCGGUUAUACGAGAGGCCCUAGUUGAUGAACACGGCGUAAAGGGUGGUUAAGGUUUAGUUCAAAUAAAGCCAAAAGACCUCUUGGCUGUUAUACGCCCCUGAGUGCCCGAAGCCCAUAUACGAAGGUAGCUUUAAUAUUAGCCCACCUGACCCCACGAAAGCUGAGAAA